ensembl:snoRNA small nucleolar RNA SNORD2
AAGUGUAAUGAUGGCAUUUCAUCUUUCGGGACAGACACGAUAAUGGUGACAUCAUUUUUUUUUACUGAACACUC